rnacentral:rRNA from 1 species
UACGGGGGGGGCAAGCGUUGUUCGGAAUUACUGGGCGUAAAGGGCUCGUAGGUGGCCAACUAAGUCGGACGUGAAAUCCCUCGGCUUAACCGGGGAACUGCGUCCGAUACUGGUUGGCUUGAGUUUGGGAGAGGGAUGCGGAAUUCCAGGUGUAGCGGUGAAAUGCGUAGAUAUCAGGAGGAACACCGAUGGCGAAGGCAGGUCUCUGGGCUGACACUGACGCUCAUGCACGAAAGCGUGGGGAGCAAACAGG